UACAGAGGGGGCAAGCGUUGUUCGGAAUUACUGGGCGUAAAGGGCGCGUAGGCGGCCUGUUAAGUCGAACGUGAAAUCCCCGGGCUCAACCCGGGAACUGCGUCCGAUACUGGCAGGCUUGAAUUCGGGAGAGGGAUGUGGAAUUCCAGGUGUAGCGGUGAAAUGCGUAGAUAUCUGGAGGAACACCGGUGGCGAAGGCGGCAUCCUGGACCGAUAUUGACGGCUGAUGCGCGAAAGCCAGGGGAGCAAACGGG
rnacentral:rRNA from 1 species